rnacentral:rRNA from 1 species
GGGGGGGGGGGGGGGGGGGGGGGGGGGGGGGGGGGGGGGGGGGGGGGGGGGGGGUGGGGGGGGGGCGCGGGUGGCGGACGGGUGAGGAGGACGUGGGUAAGCGGCCCGGGACUGUGGGAUAACUUGAGGGAACUGGGGCUAAUACGGGAUAGGAGGUCCUGCUGCAUGGUGGGGGGUGGAAAGUGUCGGCGGUUGGGGAUGGACUCGCGGCUUAUCAGCUUGGUGGUGGGGUAGUGGCUUACCAAGGCUUUGACGGGUAGCCGGCCUGAGAGGGUGACCGGCCACAUUGGGACUGAGAUACGGCCCAGACUCCUACGGGAGGCAGCAGUGGGGAAUAUUGCACAAUGGGCGGAAGCCUGAUGCAGCAACGCCGCGUGCGGGAUGACGGCCUUCGGGUUGUAAACCGCUUUCGCCUGUGACGAAGCGUGAGUGACGGUAAUGGGUAAAGAAGCACCGGCUAACUACGUG